ACUUGCAAUAAAUGAUCUAUGACUUGCAUCAGACUAAAGGGUGUGCAGUGGUUCUUCAAUAUCACUGACUGUGGAGCAUAUCCAUUCAAUUUUGCACCUCACAGCUUGGGACAUCGAGCGCAACCCAAAAAUGUUCUCCAAGAAAUACAAAUUAUACUGAAGCUUUUCCCACAAAACACCACAUCAAUCUGCUCAGCUCCUCCUGCUCUAUAACGUGCUGCCUGCAGUUCACUUCACAUUUUCAUGGUGACCGGUUCCCUUUAAGAUAUGCCUCCUCACCAAACGUGGCACACGGAGUGUCUAAACACAUGAUAAAUAUGGUGCAAGGCAUUUCAGCCAGUUUUUUUAUGCAAACUCAAGCCAGAAAUCAGGCGUACCAAGCUUAGUAAAUCCCCCCCUCUGUGUUCACAGUGG